AAAAAAAGAUUUUUGACAAAGCUUUUGUCUUGGUCCAUAAAUUGCGUAAUGGGUAGUUUAAUGUAAUGGACUUUCUGUGAUCCCAUUUCAGCACAAUAAAGUGAAAAGUAAACUGUAUAUCUGUUAUACGAAAAGUAAUGAAAUUGUGUUAAUAUAGUUGUCGAUUAAGAAAAGUAUUUACAUAUUUACAAAACCUGAUUGUUGUUUGCCGGAAACGAUGACUUAUAUUGAGUCUCGGUUUCUAUAUUAAUAUUAAGUAUACAUAUUUUUAAAAUUAGAGAUUGUACCUAUAAGGUGGAAUUUCUGCCUUAAAAAUAAAACUUUGUGAACUUAACAA